AGAAGGCACGAGCGCUGUCGAUGACAGCACCCAGGUGGUCCGAACCUUAAAGGCCACUCCACAACCGUGGUGGUUCGCCCCAAGUAUGUUCAGCAUCCGGCAGUGCAUAUGGUCACCCCAGCCCAGGUGUGAUGGAUGC
rfam:Pseudomonas sp. M47T1 contig014, whole genome shotgun sequence.